rnacentral:tRNA from 1 species
GCCUGGGUAGCUCACUUGGUUAAGCGUCUGACUUCGGCUCAGGUCAUGAUUUCAUGGUUUGUGAGUUCAAGCCCUGCCUCGGGCU